GUGCUAAAGAGAUGGAAAUGAAGAAAACAAAACCACAAAAAACUCAAAAUGAAGAUAGCAUCUGGCUACAUGGACAAAAUUGGUGAGACAGUUGUUUGGCCGCAGAUAGAAGAAUUGUUGAUAUUGGAGAUAAUUCUCAUUAUUUUCCAAGUGUGAUUUCAAGCUUUGGUGUUGCAUCUGAACGUUCCCUAAUACUGUGUGUCCAUCUGAUAGUCAGGAGAUACUCAUAUAUCAUUAUGAAUGAACGAGAAUUCCACUUUGUGGUAUUGGUAUAAUAUCCUUGAAAAAAUCCUCUGAAGUUUGAAACUUCUUGUUCCUCUGGACCAUGUAUUAUGGAGCUAAUAAGAAACCCAAGAUUUCAUCUUGGAAUGUGAGUAUCCUUGGAACAUGGAAAGCAUGUGGACUUAGAAUUCCUGUUUUUGUCCUCAGUAUUUAUCAAACAAACAAAGACAACCUCAAAAACCAACCAACCAACCAAAAAAACCAACAACAAAACCCAAACAAGCAAAAUAAGAAUAGAACUGUUACUCAUAUGCUAACUAGAUCAGUUUGUGUUUUAGUUUAACCUUUUUCCAAAUGAGAGAAAAAAAAUCCUACCUUUAUUUCUGAUAGGCAGCAAAAGUGUACAUGUAAUCUGGAAUUACAGGACAUAAUUCCUGUGUUAACACUGGAUUUACCACUGUGUUGUAUGUUGAGGGAAACAGGUUCUACCUUGUUGCUCUUACGGACUGGGGGACAAAGAGGAGACUCCUCAUUAACUCUGAUGUCUCAUCCUCCAGUCUUAUUUUAAAAGGUUGUU